rnacentral:rRNA from 1 species
UACAGAGGUCCCAAGCGUUGUUCGGAUUCAUUGGGCGUAAAGCGCGCGUAGGCGGCCCGGUAAGUCCGCUGUAAAAGUCCAGGGCUCAACCCUGGAAAGCCGGUGGAUACUGUCGGGCUAGAGUCCGGAAGAGGCGAGUGGAAUUCCUGGUGUAGCGGUGAAAUGCGCAGAUAUCAGGAAGAACACCCGUGGCGAAGGCGGCUCUCUGGGACGGUACUGACGCUGAGACGCGAAAGCGUGGGGAGCGAACAGG